rnacentral:rRNA from 1 species
UACAGAGGUCCCAAGCGUUGUCCGGAAUCAUUGGGCGUAAAGCGCGCGUAGGCGGCCAGAUAAGUCCGGUGUGAAAGUCACAGGCUCAACCUGUGAAUGCCGCUGGAAACUGUCUGGCUAGAGUCCGGGAGGGGCGAGUGGAAUUCCUGGUGUAGCGGUGAAAUGCGCAGAUAUCAGGAGGAACACCAAUGGCGAAGGCAGCUCGCUGGAACGGUACUGACGCUGAGGCGCGAAAGCGUGGGGAGCGAACAGG